ensembl:lncRNA
UAGUGUUAGGGAUCCACCCUCCCUCCAGGGUUAGUGUUAGGGAUCCACCCUCCCUCCAGGGUUAGGUUAGGGAUCCACCUUCCCUCUAGGGUUAGUGAUAGGGUUCCACCCUCCCUCUAGGGUUAGGUUAGGCUUCCACCCUCCCUCUAGAGUUAGUGUUAGGGUUCCACCGUCCCUCCUGGGGACAUGACUAGUUCAGUUGAUGUCUUUAAGCAUCCCUAGCCUGUUUUACAUUGUCUUAAAUAUGUCUAGCCAGUUUUAAAUUUAUAAUUUUGUUGCAUUUUAAUUUAUAUUUGAUUAUUGUAUUAAUAUGUUAAUUGCACCGUACAAUAUGUGAAGAGACAAAUGUAUGUGUGAUGUUAUUUUCAGACUUGAAGUACGUUAAUAUUUGUCAUAUGAGAAGAGUUUUUUCUGUGUUGGAUAAUUUUGAAGUAGGAGCUGCUUUUGGACUGUGAUUACUCUCUUCUCUAACUCUGGUUUUUCAGGUUAAAGAAGUGAUUAUAAUCAAGAGUCCUGUCAUUUCAAGUCUGGAUUAUGACCCUUUCACUGGGCUUCACACUGCUGGCACCAGCCUCAGUCAAUCCACAUCCCCCACCUCUGGUUCAUGAUGUCACUACAGUCCCCCACCUCUGGUUCAUGAUGUCACUACAGUCCCCCACCUCUGGUUCAUGAUGUCACUACAGUCCCCCACCUCUGGUUCAUGAUGUCACUACAGUCCCCCACCUCUGGUUCAUGAUGUCACUACAGUCCCCCACCUCUGGUUCAUGAUGUCACUACAGUCCCCCACCUCUGGUUCAUGAUGUCACUACAGUCCCCCACCUCUGGUUCAUGAUGUCACUACUGUCCCCUAGCUCUGGUUCAUGAUGUCACUACUGUCCCCUAGCUCUGGUCCAUGAUGUCACUACAGUCCCCUAGCUCUGGUCCAUGCUGUCACUACUGUCCCCUAGAUCUGGUCCAUGAUGUCACUACAGUCCCCUAGCUCUGGUCCAUGAUGUCACUCCUGUCCCCUAGCUCUGGUCCAUGAUGUCACUCCUGUCCCCUAGCUCUGGUUCAUGAUGUCACUACUGUCCCCUAGCUCUGGUUCAUGCUGUCACUACUGUCCCCUAGAUCUGGUCCAUGAUGUCACUACAGUCCCCUAAAUCUGCUCCAUGAUGUCACUACAGUCCCCUAGCUCUGGUCCAUGAUGUCACUCCUGUCCCACUGGCUCUGGUCCAUGAUGUCACUACUGUCCCCUAGCUCUGGUUCAUGAUGUCACUACUGUCCCCUAGCUCUGGUUCAUGCUGUCACUACUGUCCCCUAGAUCUGGUCCAUGAUGUCACUACAGUCCCCUAGCUCUGGUCCAUGAUGUCACUACAGUCCCCUAGCUCUGGUCCCUGGUGUCACAAAAUCCACUUGGUCUGAUCCCUGGUGUCACUACACCACCCAGCUGUCACCACAUCCCUGAUUAAUGGGAUGUUCUAGAAACUAAGUUAUAAAGCCCAAUGGGUCCAGAGACAGUACAAUGUAGCAGCAACCGUGAGCCAAAUAGCCUGUUGGCAAAUGUUUUCGCAGGUUGUGUGCAUCACGGAUUAAAUAAGCUUCAUGACUGGAUAGAUCGGUUUAACUGAUGGGUUUAACUUUUAAAUAUCAUAAUUGUAAAGGUUGUGUUAACUGUAGCCUGUCAUUUGUAUGUACUAUUUUAACCACUCAUUGGUAUUCACAAUAAACUAAGCCAAAU